CCAGCUUGCUGGAUGCUGACGAGCGGCGGACGGGUGAGUAAUGCAUAGGAAUCUGCCCGAUAGUGGGGGAUAACCUGGGGAAACCCAGGCUAAUACCGCAUACGUCCUACGGGAGAAAGGGGGCUCCGGCUCCCGCUAUGGGAUGAGCCUAUGUCGGAUUAGCUAGUUGGUGAGGUAACGGCUCACCAAGGCGACGAUCCGUAGCUGGUCUGAGAGGAUGAUCAGCCACAUCGGGACUGAGACACGGCCCGAACUCCUACGGGAGGCAGCAGUGGGGAAUAUUGGACAAUGGGGGAAACCCUGAUCCAGCCAUGCCGCGUGUGUGAAGAAGGCCCUCGGGUUGUAAAGCACUUUCAGCGAGGAAGAACGCCUAGCGGUUAAUACCCGCUAGGAAAGACAUCACUCGCAGAA
rnacentral:rRNA from 1 species